rnacentral:sRNA from 1 species
ACAUAUUCAAUUUAAUUAUAUACUUUAAAUUAAUUAUUUUUCGUGAUUUUCUGUUAGUGUAAAAUAAAAAAAAGCCACUGGUUGAUUGACUGUGCAAAAACCUCUGAAGUAUAUGCAACGUAUACAAUGAUCUGGUUAUUUUAGUAUGAAUGUCUUCUAUAUCAUUGACAAUGUACAUAAAUAUUAAUCGAAUCCGAUGGAACAACUGUCAUCUACAGGAUAAUGUCUACAAUGACAUCAAUAAUGAACAAAAUGAAAUCCCCUUAGGGUUUUUGAAUAUCAAGAGAAAAGAUGAUCAAUCGAUUAGACUAGACAACUUUUAUAUUGAUAAGCCCCGCAUGAUAAUUAUUUGCUUAUUGGAAUCUAGCAAUCACCUGUACAAGGGUUUCAUUCAUCAGGAUGAGCAAACUAAUUCCUUUUUUUCGACCUAUGUAAAGCUAUAAAAAUUAUUAAAGUAACGCCUGGGGGAAACACGAUACAUGUUACUAAAAAAAUUGCGUUGAAAUGGGCAAUUGUUUAAGAUAAAAAUUUAACCACUUAUUUGUCAUUUUCUAUGACUUUUUUCCUCCAAAAUAUCCCAGGGUGUAAUUAAAAGAUAUGGAUACAGUUUUUUUUUUCUUACGACUACUUGGUUGACUUUUCUACCAUUUAUUUUUUCUUAACUUGAAUCUGGAAUUCACCUGCUUUAACAUUUAUUCAGAAAGAAUGUUUCAGGAUUUUUACCAUGAUUUACAAUAAACAUGCAGAAAAUCAAUAAAUUACAUUUUGCAGCGUUAUAAAGAAUGACUCAAUUCCAAAUUUCGGUAUUGUUCCUUUCAUUUUAAUUUCCAAAUGUUAAUUAAAAAAAAAUAAUUUAUUGUGUCUGUGUUUUGUAAUCAAAAUUCACUUUUCAUAAUCUAUUCAUCAAUACUUUAUGUCAAUCUUUUGUUUAGUAGACUCAUGUUUGUUGCAAUGUUGUUCAUUUAUCUAAAUUUUCUUAAUUAAAAUGCAUGAUCACUGCACAUGUAGCCAUCUUCCACUUUGAAGUGCCUCAAAUAAAAUUGUACAAAUGUG